rnacentral:rRNA from 1 species
UGGGGAAUAUUGCACAAUGGGCGGAAGCCUGAUGCAGCGACGCCGCGUGAGCGAUGAAGGCCUUCGGGUCGUAAAGCUCUGUCCUAUGGGACGAUAAUGACGGUACCAUAGGAGGAAGCCCCGGCUAACUACGUGCCAGCAGCCGCGGUAAUACGUAGGGGGCGAGCGUUGUCCGGAAUUACUGGGCGUAAAGGGUACGUAGGCGGCUAGGUAAGUCAGGUGUGAAAUCCAUGGGCUCAACCCAUGUAAGCACUUGAAACUGCUUAGCUUGAGUUAAGGAGAGGAAAGCGGAAUUCCUGGUGUAGCGGUGAAAUGCGUAGAUAUCAGGAGGAACACCAGUGGCGAAGGCGGCUUUCUGGCCUUGGACUGACGCUGAGGUACGAAAGCGUGGGGAGCAAACA